rnacentral:rRNA from 1 species
AGGGAUGACGGCCUUCGGGUUGUAAACCUCUUUUAGCAGGGAAGAAGCGUGAGUGACGGUACCUGCAGAAAAAGCGCCGGCUAACUACGUGCCAGCAGCCGCGGUAAUACGUAGGGCGCAAGCGUUAUCCGGAAUUAUUGGGCGUAAAGAGCUCGUAGGCGGUUUGUCGCGUCUGCUGUGAAAUCUGGGGGCUCAACCCCCAGCCUGCAGUGGGUACGGGCAGACUAGAGUGCGGUAGGGGAGAUUGGAAUUCCUGGUGUAGCGGUGGAAUGCNCACAUAUUUCNGGAGGAACACCGAUGGCGAAGGCANANUNUCUGGGCCGUANCUGACCCUGAAGAGCGAAGGGGUGGGGAGCAAACAGNAUUAGAUNCCNUGGUAGUCCANGGGCGAAUUC